AAGGCUGUAGAACGCCGAGGAAAGGGCGCGAACUUUAUUCCGACUGCAGCUAACCGCGGCGCCUCUUUCCUUUUCGGGCGCUCGCCCCAUCUCGGCCCCCUUUGCCCAGUUCCUCCUCGCGAGCCGCCGCCGCUGCCCCCUCCUCUCUCUUCCCCUUCACCUUCCCCUUCUCCUCUUCCUUCCCCGCUACGGCCGCCCCGCUCUGCUUGCCCUGUCAGCCCAGGUCGUCCGCGCGCUGCUGGGGAGAAGGCGAGCGAAGCGGACGACAACUCAGAAGACAGAAACUCAGGGCGAGAAAGUGCUGGGAGGAAAGGCAGAAAGUUGAGCGCAGCUGGAGGGGGGAAGUUGUUGGCGGCGGCGCGUUUGGAGCUAUGACUGACAAGAGAAUAGGACCCAAGUAGCCACAGCUGUUCUGAAAAUGUGAUUAGGCCCGUUACUCACAUGGAUCCAGCUUUUUAACAGUGGGGCCACUGCACCUGCGUUCUGUGUACUGAUUGGGCCCAAAUUCCUGACGUUUCUAGGCCCUUUCAAAGAAGAUUUCCAGUCAUUUUUGCCUUUGUGGAUUCAGUGCAUCACCUUCCAUGGAGAGAUAGAAUUGCUCUUGAUGAACUCACAUUGCUGUUAGUUGCUACCAUUUCGAUUCCAACUUGUGGCAACCACAUGUGUGUAUAGUGGAACUCCAUAAAGGCUGUGUCCUUUCAGAAGCAGACCACCAGGCCUUUCUUCCAAGGUGCCUCUGGGGGAAGAAGACCAAAACCAAGAAAUUUGAGCAUGAUUUGGAGUUAUCAUCACCAUCUUGAUCCCUUUUGGGAAAAUGUACACAAAAUUAAAUUAGGUGUUCUCUGGCUUUUGACUCUUAAGGUACAGAGAAAUAAAAUUUAGAGACUAUUAUAUAUUAUUCAGAAAAUAUAAUUUGAUUUAUUUCCUUCUUUUACAGUUGUUAUGAACUGUAUCAUCAUGGCACCAGUGGAACAUUUUUAUAUGAGAAUAGUUUAAACAUUUCUUUAUAUUAACAAAUCAAUUACUCAGAAUUAAAGAUAGUAUCUGUUCUCUGUUUUCAAGUCAUGAAGCAUUGAAUGCCCACCAAACACUGUUUCUGUAUUGAGCACAGGAAUACUUGAGCCAUGUUCUAUCCCCACUGGAGCCUGUAUGUUUCACUGGGAGAAAAUAAGACCCACAAAAGGAGCCCCUAAAAUCACACAAUAAUGUAAGUUACCUAUGGCUGUGAACAAAUAGAAGAUUCCUGUUGUCCUGGAAAUGUCACUAGGUCACACAUACAGUUUGCACUCAGCUACUAAAGGUUGGCAAUUCGAACCCCUUGGUACAGUACUGAAGAAGAAAGGCCUGGUGAGCUGCUUCCUUUAAGAUUACAGCCAAGAAAACCCUAUGGAGCAGUUCUACUCUAAUACAUGGGAUUGCCGUGAAAUAAGAAUUGACUCGAUGGCAACGUUUUUACAGAUUUUCCUGGACAGAGAGCUCACCCAGACACAAUCUAGGUUCAAAUUCACAUUCUUAUACCAAUAAACUAUGUAAUCUUGGGAAUGUUAUGUAACCUCUGCAGU